ACCUGAUUCUGUGACUCGAGAGAAAGGUCACCACCUGAAGGCAUCAAAAAGUAGGGCCAAGCGGACGGCACAGAGGGGAGGACCUGGCUCACAGGCUCUUGCAGUCACCUCUUCCCUGCACCCAGGAAGUCACUCAUGGUUUACAGAAAACCUUCAGUUCCCCACAUCACACCAUGAGGAGCUCGGGGUUGUCUUGGGGCUCCGGUUUUUGAAAAGCCAAGUUCCUAUCAACGGCAACUGACUUCACCUCAACUGCUCUGUCUCUAGACCCCAGAGGGUCAAAAGCUAAAUGAAAUUUUAACUCAGAAGAGUUAGGUGAAGGGAGUCUAUAGUCAUUAUUAUUAUUUUAGUUGUCACCAAGGUUAUCACUGGGGCUUGGUGUCAGCACUGAUAAUGCACUGCUCCUGGUGGCCAUUUUUUCCAUUUCAUUGUCAGGACAGAGAGAGGAGGGAGAAGCAGAGAGGGAAGAAGAUUGACAUCUGAAGAUCUGCUUCACUAUUCACAAACCGCCCCCCCCCCCAAAGGAGGGGAAUGGGGACUCAAACCUGGGUCCUGGUGCAUGGUAACACCUCCGCUUGAGUGUGAAACUGCUUGGCUGCCUCCACAGUCAUUGUGAAACCCUGAGGUGUCAUAAAAUAGCUCAUCCUUCCCGGAAGCCUUCUCUUUCUGCUUUGAAAGGGAGGUGUUUCUGUACCUUGCUUCUGCAGCUAGCUGUCGUACACAGCUCCUCUGUGCUUCAGACUCGAUUACCUGGAUUGUUUCUGGGGCUCCAUGCCAGGUGAACUCCCGCCUGGCCCUCAAACCUGGCCCUCUCACCAUGAGACUUGACUGAGGUUCAGUAUGACAGACAGUAACCACCUCUGACCAUUGUGAUCAUUUUCCAGACCAAGUGAAGGAUCCAUCCUAUUUCUGACAGUGUGUAAGCUUGUGUCAAGUGAAAAGUGGCCCAAGCUUUGGUGCUUGGGCCGGGGGACUAAGCCAUGAAAGGCUAAAGGUCUAAUUUAGAACAGACAGAGGAAACAUUCUUCACCGCCUCCUCAAAUCUAGACCAGCAACAAGACCACUUAAAUUAUAAAGGGUCCAAGUCUGUGUCUUCUCAAAACACUAAGGCUAUUUCGGUGACCCGGUUCACCUCUGACACCAGCGGAGUGGCAACAGCUGUGUUUUGCUUUCCCCAAUAAACUAUGAAAAGCAAUAAAACUUACCUGAAAAAUCAACAAAAUACGACCAGGAUCCCUUCAAAAACUCACCAAGCCACACGUGAGUACAGACAGGUGUGGCUCGUGGACAGAAAGGGGCUGAGGGAGAGAUUCCUGGGGCUGAAAGUCCGGACUCAGGGAUGGCUGGUGCCAGUCUGGGAGUUUGCCAGCUGAGAUACAUGACUUCUGGGUCUGAGUUUUAGCAACAAAAAGACUGUUU